rnacentral:tRNA from 1 species
UAGCUCAGUCGGUAAAGAAUCUGCCUGCAGUGCAGGAGACCCAGGUUUGAUUCCUGG